GCUCUUAGAUCAGAAGCGAGAAUGUUGACAUGAGUAGCGAUAAAGAGGGUGAGAGACCCUCUCGCCGUAAGUCCAAGGGUUCCUGCUUAAAGCUAAUCUGAGCAGGGUAAGCCGGCCCCUAAGGCGAGGCCGAAAGGCGUAGUCGAUGGGAACCACGUUAAUAUCCGUGGGCCAGGAGGAAGUGACGGAUCUCGAAGGUAGUUUGCCCUUAUCGGAUUGGGUGGGCUGCUCAGAGGUUCCAGGAAAUAGCCCUCCAUCAGACCGUACCCUAAACCGACACAGGUGGACUGGUAGAGUAUACCAAGGCGCUUGAGAGAACCACGUUAAAGGAACUCGGCAAAAUGCCUCCGUAAGUUCGCGAGAAGGAGGCCCCAUAUGUGCGCAAGCAUGUGUUGGGGGCACAAACUAGGGGGUGGCGACUGUUUACUUAAAACACAGGGCUGUGCGAAGCCGUAAGGCGACGUAUACAGUCUGACGCCUGCCCGGUGCUGGAAGGUUAAAAGGAGGGGUGCAAGCUCUGAAUUGAAGCCCCAGUAAACGGCGGCCGUAACUAUAACGGUCCUAAGGUAGCGAAAUUCCUUGUCGGGUAAGUUCCGACCUGCACGAAUGGCGUAACGAUCUCCCCGCUGUCUCUAACGUGGACUCAGCGAAAUUGAACUGUGUGUCAAGAUGCACACUACCCGCGGUUAGACGGAAAGACCCCCAUGCACCUUUACUCCAGCUUUGCACUGGUAUCAGGAUUGUGAUGUGCAGGAUAGGUGGUAGGCAUCGAAGCGGGGACGCCAGUUCUCGUGGAGCCUCCCUUGAGAUACCACCCUUCGCCAUCUUGAUAUCUAACCGCGGCCCGUUAUCCGGGUCCGGGACCCUGCAUGGUGGGGAGUUUGACUGGGGCGGUCGCCUCCCAAACAGUAACGGAGGCGCGCGAAGGUAGGCUCAGACCGGUCGGAAAUCGGUCGUUGAGUGCAAUGGCAGAAGCCUGCCUGACUGCAAGUCUGACAAGACGAGCAGAGACGAAAGUCGGUCAUAGUGAUCCGGUGGUCCCAAGUGGGAGGGCCAUCGCUCAACGGAUAAAAGGUACGCUGGGGAUAACAGGCUGAUGAUGCCCAAGAGUCCAUAUCGACGGCAUCGUUUGGCACCUCGAUGUCGGCUCAUCUCAUCCUGGGGCUGGAGCAGGUCCCAAGGGUAUGGCUGUUCGCCAUUUAAAGAGGUACGUGAGCUGGGUUUAGAACGUCGUGAGACAGUUCGGUCCCUAUCUGCCGUGGGUGUAGGAGACUUGAGAAGAGUUGCCCCUAGUGCGAGAGGACCGGGGUGAACGAACCACUGGUGGACCAGUUGUCGUGCCAACGGCAGUGCUGGGUAGCUAUGUUCGGACCGGAUAACCGCUGAAGGCAUCUAAGCGGGAAGCCCCCUUCAAAACAAGGUCUCCCUUGAGAGCCGUGGAAGACCACCACGUCGAUAGGCCGGAGGUGUAAGUGCAGCAAUGCAUUCAGCU
rnacentral:rRNA from 1 species